GGUUAAGCGACUAAGCGUACACGGUGGAUGCCCUGGCAGUCAGAGGCGAUGAAGGACGUGCUAAUCUGCGAUAAGCGUCGGUAAGGUGAUAUGAACCGUUAUAACCGGCGAUUUCCGAAUGGGGAAACCCAGUGUGAUUCGUCACACUAUCAUUAACUGAAUCCAUAGGUUAAUGAGGCGAACCGGGGGAACUGAAACAUCUAAGUACCCCGAGGAAAAGAAAUCAACCGAGAUUCCCCCAGUAGCGGCGAGCGAACGGGGAGCAGCCCAGAGCCUGAAUCAGUGUGUGUGUUAGUGGAAGCGUCUGGAAAGGCGCGCGAUACAGGGUGACAGCCCCGUACACAAAAAUGCACAUACUGUGAGCUCGAUGAGUAGGGCGGGACACGUGGUAUCCUGUCUGAAUAUGGGGGGACCAUCCUCCAAGGCUAAAUACUCCUGACUGACCGAUAGUGAACCAGUACCGUGAGGGAAAGGCGAAAAGAACCCCGGCGAGGGGAGUGAAAAAGAACCUGAAACCGUGUACGUACAAGCAGUGGGAGCCUCUUAAUGGGGUGACUGCGUACCUUUUGUAUAAUGGGUCAGCGACUUAUAUUCUGUAGCAAGGUUAACCGAAUAGGGGAGCCGAAGGGAAACCGAGUCUUAACUGGGCGUUAAGUUGCAGGGUAUAGACCCGAAACCCGGUGAUCUAGCCAUGGGCAGGUUGAAGGUUGGGUAACACUAACUGGAGGACCGAACCGACUAAUGUUGAAAAAUUAGCGGAUGACUUGUGGCUGGGGGUGAAAGGCCAAUCAAACCGGGAGAUAGCUGGUUCUCCCCGAAAGCUAUUUAGGUAGCGCCUCGUGAAUUCAUCUCCGGGGGUAGAGCACUGUUUCGGCAAGGGGGUCAUCCCGACUUACCAACCCGAUGCAAACUGCGAAUACCGGAGAAUGUUAUCACGGGAGACACACGGCGGGUGCUAACGUCCGUCGUGAAGAGGGAAACAACCCAGACCGCCAGCUAAGGUCCCAAAGUCAUGGUUAAGUGGGAAACGAUGUGGGAAGGCCCAGACAGCCAGGAUGUUGGCUUAGAAGCAGCCAUCAUUUAAAGAAAGCGUAAUAGCUCACUGGUCGAGUCGGCCUGCGCGGAAGAUGUAACGGGGCUAAACCAUGCACCGAAGCUGCGGCAGCGACACUAUGUGUUGUUGGGUAGGGGAGCGUUCUGUAAGCCUGUGAAGGUGUACUGUGAGGUAUGCUGGAGGUAUCAGAAGUGCGAAUGCUGACAUAAGUAACGAUAAAGCGGGUGAAAAGCCCGCUCGCCGGAAGACCAAGGGUUCCUGUCCAACGUUAAUCGGGGCAGGGUGAGUCGACCCCUAAGGCGAGGCCGAAAGGCGUAGUCGAUGGGAAACAGGUUAAUAUUCCUGUACUUGGUGUUACUGCGAAGGGGGGACGGAGAAGGCUAUGUUGGCCGGGCGACGGUUGUCCCGGUUUAAGCGUGUAGGCUGGUUUUCCAGGCAAAUCCGGAAAACUAAGGCUGAGGCGUGAUGACGAGGCACUACGGUGCUGAAGCAACAAAUGCCCUGCUUCCAGGAAAAGCCUCUAAGCAUCAGGUAACAUCAAAUCGUACCCCAAACCGACACAGGUGGUCAGGUAGAGAAUACCAAGGCGCUUGAGAGAACUCGGGUGAAGGAACUAGGCAAAAUGGUGCCGUAACUUCGGGAGAAGGCACGCUGAUAUGUAGGUGAAGUCCCUCGCGGAUGGAGCUGAAAUCAGUCGAAGAUACCAGCUGGCUGCAACUGUUUAUUAAAAACACAGCACUGUGCAAACACGAAAGUGGACGUAUACGGUGUGACGCCUGCCCGGUGCCGGAAGGUUAAUUGAUGGGGUUAGCGGUAACGCGAAGCUCUUGAUCGAAGCCCCGGUAAACGGCGGCCGUAACUAUAACGGUCCUAAGGUAGCGAAAUUCCUUGUCGGGUAAGUUCCGACCUGCACGAAUGGCGUAAUGAUGGCCAGGCUGUCUCCACCCGAGACUCAGUGAAAUUGAACUCGCUGUGAAGAUGCAGUGUACCCGCGGCAAGACGGAAAGACCCCGUGAACCUUUACUAUAGCUUGACACUGAACAUUGAGCCUUGAUGUGUAGGAUAGGUGGGAGGCUUUGAAGUGUGGACGCCAGUCUGCAUGGAGCCGGCCUUGAAAUACCACCCUUUAAUGUUUGAUGUUCUAACGUUGGCCCCUGAUCGGGGUUGCGGACAGUGUCUGGUGGGUAGUUUGACUGGGGCGGUCUCCUCCUAAAGAGUAACGGAGGAGCACGAAGGUUGGCUAAUCCUGGUCGGACAUCAGGAGGUUAGUGCAAUGGCAUAAGCCAGCUUGACUGCGAGCGUGACGGCGCGAGCAGGUGCGAAAGCAGGUCAUAGUGAUCCGGUGGUUCUGAAUGGAAGGGCCAUCGCUCAACGGAUAAAAGGUACUCCGGGGAUAACAGGCUGAUACCGCCCAAGAGUUCAUAUCGACGGCGGUGUUUGGCACCUCGAUGUCGGCUCAUCACAUCCUGGGGCUGAAGUAGGUCCCAAGGGUAUGGCUGUUCGCCAUUUAAAGUGGUACGCGAGCUGGGUUUAGAACGUCGUGAGACAGUUCGGUCCCUAUCUGCCGUGGGCGCUGGAGAACUGAGGGGGGCUGCUCCUAGUACGAGAGGACCGGAGUGGACGCAUCACUGGUGUUCGGGUUGUCAUGCCAAUGGCACUGCCCGGUAGCUAAAUGCGGAAGAGAUAAGUGCUGAAAGCAUCUAAGCACGAAACUUGCCCCGAGAUGAGUUCUCCCUGACUCCUUGAGAGUCCUGAAGGAACGUUGAAGACGACGACGUUGAUAGGCCGGGUGUGUAAGCGCAGCGAUGCGUUGAGCUAACCGGUACUAAUGAACCGUGAGGCUUAACCUU
rnacentral:rRNA from 1 species